UUCCUGGUCGUAGCCUGAAUGCAUGGCUUCUUUAAACGGUGGCGACACCGAAGGGCCGAGCCUACGAGUGUUUUGUACAGAGUGAAAGUGGAAAACCUACAAGAAAAGGAAAAGAAAGACGAGUUACAUACUCGAGAAACUGAAAAAAAGUUUUAAAGGCAUAGAAGAGAUAGGUGCGAUUGAAGAUUUGUGGAAUACAUUUAAGAAAGGGGUCGUGAAUGUUGCUAUUGAGUUAUGUGAACAAAAAGAU